AAGACUUUAUGUUAAGUAAACAAUUAACCUUCAAAGUUAAAAUUAUAAGAUAAAUCUUAUAAGUCUUA
rnacentral:tRNA from 1 species